AAAUUGAAGAGUUUGAUCAUGGCUCAGAUUGAACGCUGGCGGCAGGCCUAACACAUGCAAGUCGAACGGUAACAGGAAGCAGCUUGCUGCUUCGCUGACGAGUGGCGGACGGGUGAGUAAUGUCUGGGAAACUGCCUGAUGGAGGGGGAUAACUACUGGAAACGGUAGCUAAUACCGCAUAAUGUCGCAAGACCAAAGAGGGGGACCUUCGGGCCUCUUGCCAUCGGAUGUGCCCAGAUGGGAUUAGCUUGUUGGUGGGG
rnacentral:rRNA from 1 species